rnacentral:rRNA from 1 species
GUCCAGGGGGCCGCCUUCGCCACCGGUAUUCCUCCAGAUCUCUACGCAUUUCACCGCUACACCUGGAAUUCUACCCCCCUCUACAAGACUCUAGCCUGCCAGUUUCGAAUGCAGUUCCCAGGUUGAGCCCGGGGAUUUCACAUCCGACUUGACAGACCGCCUGCGUGCGCUUUACGCCCAGUAAUUCCGAUUAACGCUUGCACCCUCCGUAUUACCGCGGCUGCUGGCACGGAGUUAGCCGGUGCUUCUUCUGCGGGUAACGUCAAUCGACAAGGUUAUUAACCUUAUCGCCUUCCUCCCCGCUGAAAGUACUUUACAACCCGAAGGCCUUCUUCAUACACGCGGCAUGGCUGCAUCAGGCUUGCGCCCAUUGUGCAAUAUUCCCCACUGCUGCCUCCCGUAGGAGUCUGGACCGUGUCUCAGUUCCAGUGUGGCUGGUCAUCCUCUCAGACCAGCUAGGGAUCGUCGCCUAGGUGAGCCGUUACCCCACCUACUAGCUAAUCCCAUCUGGGCACAUCUGAUGGCAAGAGGCCCGAAGGUCCCCCUCUUUGGUCUUGCGACGUUAUGCGGUAUUAGCUACCGUUUCCAGUAGUUAUCCCCCUCCAUCAGGCAGUUUCCCAGACAUUACUCACCCGUCCGCCGCUCGUCA